CCUACGGGAGGCAGCAGUGAGGAAUAUUGGUCAAUGAACGAGAGUCUGAACCAGCCAAGUAGCGUGAAGGAUGACUGCCCUAUGGGUUGUAAACUUCUUUUAUAAAGGAAUAAAACGAGGCACGUGUGCCUUUUUGCAUGUACUUUAUGAAUAAGGAUCGGCUAACUCCGUGCCAGCAGCCGCGGUAAUUCGGAGGAUCCGAGCGUUAUCCGGAUUGAUUGGGUUUAAAGGGAGCGUAGAUGGGUUGGUAAGUCAGUUGUGAAAGUUUGCGGCUCAACCGUAAGAUUGCAAUUGAUACUGGCAGUCUUGAGUACAGUUGAGGUAGGCGGAAUUCGUGGUGUAGCGGUGAAAUGCUUAGAUAUCAUGAAGAACCCCGAAUGCGAAGGCAGCUUACUAAACUGUGACUGACAUUGAUGGUCGAAAGUGUGGGUAUCAAACAGGAUUAGAUACCCGGGUAGUC
rnacentral:rRNA from 1 species